UGAGAGGCAUGUGAUGCAGAAGAAGAGGAUAUGUCAGAGAAGCUUAGAAACAAAGGGUACCCCAAGGAGCGGCAACAUUUCAGGACUUCUUGGGUGGAAGAAAGUUGGCAGAGAGAAAGUCCACGGGUACCCAAGUUCCGGAUGAAGCCAAAGUGAAGGAGAACAUGAAGCACUAGAGAAAGGAGUUUGAACAGAAAGGGAG